CAGCUCCCCAACCCAGAUUUCCCCCACCAAUCGUCAAUUCGUGAUUCGUGGAGCGCCGGGCCGUUGUCUCGUACGGUCGUACCAUCGCGUGCUCGUCGCCGGGCCGAAGGCGAAAUGCGGCGCCCGCGCGGCACAAGCGACGGCGACGAGGAUCCCGGCGAGGAGGAGGAGGAACGGCGCCAGGCUGCGCCGCCGCCGGGGAAGGACGGCCCCGGGGACGCGCUGUGGCGGUGGCGGAGAAAGAGCCUCUCCGAGGUGGUGCUCUCGUGGUCCGUGGACCAAAUCCUCGACAAGGACCUGCUCCGCGAAAAGGUGUUGAAGAUACCUGAGACAUUUAACACCAUGGAGCAGUACAUGACAUCGUUCUUUGGGCCACUUUUAGAAGAGGUCAGGGAUGAUAUGUGUUCAAGCAUGGAGGACAUCUCUAAUGCACCAUAUGCAGAUCUGCUCUCUGUCAAUUCAAUGAGGAAAGGGAAGGGAUCAUUCGAGAUCAGUCUUGGCAGAUGGAGGGGAACAUCUCAUGGUUGUGGGAUUGAUAACUAUAAGCCAAAAGCUGCAGAUGUGCUAUUGAUUUCAGAAACAAGACCAACAAAUCAAUAUGAUAUUCUCAGACAGUCCAAAUCAUGUGUCAUUGUGUGGGUCAGUAAGGUUAAGGGCAAUAAGAUGACAGUUAAGGCAUCACGGUUGAUGGAGACUGGGGCACAAGGAGAUGAACGUCGACAAAUGGGUGUUAAUAAGUAUGAUAAGUCGUAUUCUGAAGGUUUGGAUGAGUCUUGGGAUAUGCUAGAUCAAGAAGCAGUCGCUUCAAAAUCUAGAUACUCAUCUGCCCACAACAUUGUCCGAAAAGAACGAGCCGAAGCUGAAAAGUGCAGUGGACAGCAUGGACAAAAUGAGACAAAGACACACGAGUCAUCAAGGCGAUGGUCGUUCUGUGCCAUGUUCCUAACUAAUAUGGUAACAUAUGACCGUGUUUGGGUUGUGCUUCGAAGGGGUUUGACAAUGGAUUCAAAUAUCAUCCAUAGCAUGUUGGGCAGAAACAAUUAUGCUCCUGGACAUUGUAAAUACUGCAGCAAUAAUUCACUUUAUGAAAUCAAGGGCGAUCUAUGCAACUUUAAGCUGAAUGACUCACAGCUUGAUGCAGUAGCAAGUUGCAUUUUGGCAAGUGAAUGCAGUCACAGAUCUUCUGUUGGGCUAGUUUGGGGCCCACCAGGCACAGGUAAAACUACAACAGUUGCAGUGAUGCUACAAAUGCUUCUGACGAAGGAACAAAGAACUCUUGCAUGCGCUCCAACUAACAUGGCUGUCCUGCAAGUAGCUUCUCGUCUUCUUGAGCUGAUUGGGGACUUCUCUUCAAGACAACAAUAUUCAUUAGGCGACAUCAUUUUAUUUGGUAACAAGGACCGUUUGCAAAUGGGCAAGUUCUUGACAAAAAUAUAUUUGGAUGAUCGUGUCCAGAAGUUGUUGAGCUGCUUCAACCGAAAAAAUGGGUGGAAGUAUUGCGUGGAUUCUGUCAUAACAUUCCUAAUAAAUUGCAUUUCCCGGUACAGAAUGUCUGUAGAUAUACAGCAAGGACGCAGCAAUGCAUGCAACCUUACCUUUAAGAAGUAUUUUACAAGUAGAUUCAGUGCUUUAGCCAAGGAAUUGGCAGGAUGCAUCAAUACAUUCUGUUACCAUCUACCAAGGGGUUCCCUAGGCAAGAACUUUGAUAGGAUGAUGCUCGCCAAAAGCUUGGUUGAAAAAUUGCAGCAGUUGCUGAGCGCAGAUGAUGUCUCUGAUGAGAUUCUUUUUACAAUCUUCAAGCCUGCUGAUGAACUUCCUGGUUCUUCUAGUAGUCAUGAUGACCUGAUAGAUGACGCCGCUGAUGAUCUUCAUGAAUGUGAUAUUUCUUCAGAUAGCCCUUUGGACAUUAAAAAUCUUUGCAUAAAAACUCUUAUGGCUCUUUCGAAGAUGCAGCUUCCUUGUGAAGACAAUGAGCUUUCAAUCCGGGACUUAUGUUUGAAACAUGCUAAGCUUAUAUUUUGCACUGCUUCUGGUUCAUUUGAGUUGUUCAGACUGCAAAGUGUGAAGCCUAUAAGCAUCUUAGUCAUUGAUGAGGCAGCUCAGCUAAAAGAAUGUGAAUCACUGGUUCCUCUAUUGCUCCAUGGGAUAGAACAUGUUUUACUAAUUGGGGAUGAAAACCAGCUAUCAUCAUUGGUAAAGAGCAAGAUUGCUAAAGAUGCUGACUUUGGACGAAGCCUCUAUCAGAGACUGUGUGCAAUGGGUUACAGCAAGCACUUGCUGGAAGUGCAAUAUAGAAUGCACCCUUGCAUCAGCAAAUUUCCAAAUGCCAACUUUUAUGAUCAUCGGAUUUCAGAUGGUCCCAUUGUAAAGCAGGAAACCUAUGUCAAGAGUUAUCUCCCUGGUCCUAUUUUUGGUUCUUAUUCGUUCAUUCAUAUUGAAAAUGACAUGGAGAUGCUUGAUAGCCUUGGUCAGAGUUCCAAGAAUAUGGCUGAGGUUGCUGCAGCAGCCAAUAUAGUUGAAAGACUUGCAAAAGAAUGCUCUGAUAAAAAGCAGAGGACGAGUGUUGGUGUAAUAUCUCCUUAUACGGCCCAAGUAAUCGCAUUGCAAGAUAGACUUGGAAGAAAGUUUGAGAAACAUGACUUUCUAUCUGUUACAGUAAAAUCUAUAGAUGGAUUUCAAGGUGGUGAGGAGGAUAUUAUAUUGAUUUCAACAGUUCGGUCCAAUAAAGAUGGCAAAGUAGGCUUUCUAUCUGAUGCUGGGAGAAUUAAUGUGGCUUUGACAAGAGCAAAGUACUGCCUUUGGAUCCUCGGAAACGGAACCACUUUACUGGCAAGCAAUUCAAUAUGGGCUGAUUUAGUCCGUGAUUCAAAAAGACGUGGAUGCUUCUUUGAUGCUUUUGUUGAUAAGGACAUAGCAGAGGCAGUCAUGCUUGUAACUAAGCCUGAGCCACGGAAACAAAUAGAACAGAGGAAUAACCACGCAAAUCUUGGAAAUGGAGUGCUGUCUUGGUCAUCAACGCCCGAUAUGGUGGCUGUCAGGAACGACCCACCAAGAAGAUGGAAUGAGCUUCCACUUCCAGUCAGAGCUUCAAGUGACCAGCAUAGUUCUUUGGAAGGGUAUCGAGGAUGGUCCAAACAGAAUCUUGGGCCCCAACCCCACGGCAGGUUGUAUUAUGAGCCACUGCACAGUAGUUCUCAAACAGGUAAUGGAAGGAAUACUCCUAGAUCAGCCCAUAUGGAAGAAUCACAUGGCCAAAAUAGUGUUCUUGAUGCAUGGCAGUAUCCAAGAAGCUACUGCAACAGGGAGUAUCAGAAUAGGACUGUUUAUCCAGAGUCCCAGAACGUGGUAACUUAUCCGUACCAGAGCAGUUCUUUCCAACAAAGGUUCCAGUCAUAUGGAGUUGACAGGCAAUUCAGCAGUAUUCAACGACAAGAACCACAUGGUCAAAUUGGCAGUCGAGGCAGAGGAAGACCUUCCUGUCUUGAGAGGGGAGGUAGGGGAGGAUGGCGUGAACGGUAUGUUUACCAUCGGACGGAAGAGCCUCGUAGUCGCAGUUGGGUGCAAAAUGGUGCUUCUGAAACUGCACUGUGCAAACGGCUAGCUCCUGAGCAGCGAGGGACAAAGAGGGACUGGUGUGAAGCAGAAUCAUCAGAUUCACUACAACAGGACAACAGAAAAAUGAGACCUGAAUGUGCAGAUCAACUUCCUGGGCAGGAGUAUCAUGGAGGCUCUGGAGAGCUCACCUACAAACUGCAUGCUCCUGAGCAGGGAGGGGUGAAGACAGAUGGGUGCAAAGCUGAAGCAUCAAGUUUGCCUGUCCAGGGUGACUCAAAAUCAACACCUGAAAGGGCAGAUCAAUCUCAUUGUACUACGUGGGACAGCAGUUCUGGUGCCUUUUCUCAUGGACUUCCUGUUUCUGAGCGGAAAGGGGUGGAAAUAGACUUGUGUGAAGCAGAAACAUCAGAUAUACCAUCUCAGGCUUUGAACGAAAGUUCUGAAGCAUCUCAUUAACCUCCUAUUCCUGAGCGAAGAGGGAUGGAAACAGACUUGUGUGAGGUAGGGGCAUUGAUGCAGCAAAUCAGUUCCAGGAUGGCAGUUCUGAAGCAGUUUCGCACGGACUGAUUGCUCCCAAGUAGGGAGGGGCAGAAAUAAACUUGUGUGCAGCAGAAGCAUCAGCUACACCAACUCAGUCUCGUGGUGGCUGUUCUGAAGGAUCCCUCGAGCUGCCUGUUCCUGAGAAGCAAGGAUGGAAACUGCCUUGUGUGAAACAGGAACAUAGAUGCACCAUCAGGCUCAGGAUGGCAGUUCUGGAUCUGCUUUACAACUACCUGUUCGUGAGCAGCGAGGAACUGAAACUAACUGCCUGUUCCUGAGCAGCAAGGAACUGAAACAGACUUGCGUGGAGCAGAAACUUCGCCAGAACAGCAGGACAACAGAGAAAUAAACCUGAAACUAUAGAAUCAGAUAGUUGCAUUCGACUCCACGAAUGGUUGCAGGCUCCUCCCCUGUUGCUGCCAAUCUUACUACAAGGUACUGAGUAUUCACCCAUGAUGAAUAAUUUCUUGAGUAUUCACUGAUCUUACUACUAGUCUUACUACAAGGUACUGAGUAUUCACCCAUGAUGAAUAAAUAAGUUUUGGCUAUCUAGUUAUUGAUAUGUGACUAGGUUAGGUAUGCAAUUCCAUGGCUGUAUGGCUGUUUGAUUAUCAUGCUUGCGCAGAUAAUCUGAAGCUAAUCUGAAGAUUGCUGACAGUCUAUGAUUUUACUACCGUUUGCAGGGCUGUUCAGGCAUUUGCACAAUUCUUGUCUGUUCAGUUUGGGGCAUGUUUUAUUGGGCGCACAUUAGUAUUUGCUUUGUCAGGAAAAAUGGGAUGACUGCGCAAUGGUGUACGAGAUUUUAGAAGCCUGAACUUUUGGGACUGCAUAUUAGUAUUACUGUAUCAGUGUAUGUUCAUUGCAUUGCCCUUCGAACCUGAAGUGGCUUGCCAUGCAUAUUUCUGAGUGAUUGCUGCUCUUUUCUACUAGUUCACUAAAUUAUAUAUGGGUGACAUUUUGCAAGUGACAGUUUGCUGGCUGUUCUGCAGCUUUCUCAGAAGACGAAGAGGGAAAUGAAGCAUGAGAAGUACUACUUUCCCAUUAGCAUUCCCAACAAAAAGAGCAAAAUCAGCUACUGAUUUUCCUACAAAAGGGGGGCGGGGGCUGUUCAUCCUUCUCCAGCACCAGGAAGGCAGGAACAAAACUGUUGCUGUAGCUUGCAUGGUUGCGCAGGGGACGGGCAGCGCUGGAAGCCGCGGACUGCUGGGGUGCACGAGGCUGACGCCACGCCCGUCGCCCGGUCGGCAGCGCGCCGUCCUUUGUUAGAGCAUGCAGCCGGGGUUGUGCUUGGUUAGACGAGUACGUUCAUCGGCAUGCACAGCGAUAUUCUUGCAAAACUUCAAAGGCAUCACGCUCCUCUACAGUUUCAUUGCUUCGGUGAGCUGUGCACAGACCCGUUACUGCGAAAUAAACAUGCAAACAAUUGCUGUGGUGUACAGAUGAUAUGCACUGAGAUGAACAAAGUUAUAUAAGUUACAUUUUCUAGAUCUGAAGAUGGGAUUUGCACUUUUACACACAAUAGCAACCUGGGAUUCUAAAAAACCUUUCCUCGUAUAAAAAACUGGGCAAGCUCGGGAGCAGGAGCAAGGGUGGUAGCUUUUUCACACUGCCUUCCUGUAUUUACCACGCUGUAUGGACUAUAACAUUCAGCCUGUCUGCCCAGGGCCUGCUCUCUAAUGGAUUGGGUGGUACUGCGUGAUCCCUCGGUUUGGAGGCAGUUUCCGUAGAAUGAAGAGCACCAGAGCUGAAGGCACGAUCUCAACCAGCUGCAAUGGAGUAGGUGAAUUCAGUCAGUAAAUUAAAAAGAACUCAGGUUACUGGACUGGAAGGUGAAAAAUGUUAAAGAUAUAUGGGAAACGCUGCAACAUCAGGAAUAACCUGCGGAAAAAUGACAACAUCAGAUGCCAUCUCAGUCGGGAAGGUUUAAGCUCUACUACAUGCAUCCUUAGAAUAGUAGAACACGUCUACAAAUAUCAAGAACAAGGGUAUUGUUACAGGGAAUAUCUGCAUGCCAGUAUGCAAUGAGCAAUAUAUUGCAAGCGCACAAAACAACUGCUACAUAUCCUGGUAUUGCUUGUAAAAUUGUUGUUACAAAGCAUGAUUCUGUAAUUUUCUGUGAGAGGUGGUCCAGAAGUAGAGUUUACCAAUAUAGGCACACAACACCCGUUAAAAAGAGUAAGGAACAGUUCCAUGUUUUCAGUGGUGAAUAUAUCAUUCAUUAGUGCAAA